UACGUAGGGUGCGAGCGUUGUCCGGAUUUAUUGGGCGUAAAGAGCUCGUAGGCGGUCUGUCGCGUCUGCUGUGAAAUCCCGAGGCUCAACCUCGGGAUUGCAGUGGGUACGGGCAGGCUAGAGUGCGGUAGGGGAGAAUGGAACUCCUGGUGUAGCGGUGGAAUGCGCAGAUAUCAGGAAGAACACCGAUGGCGAAGGCAGUUCUCUGGGCCGUAACUGACGCUGAGGAGCGAAAGCGUGGGGAGCGAACAGG
rnacentral:rRNA from 1 species